UGAAGGUUUCAUGUUGACUAUCAGCCUUCCCCCAUGGGACUGGGCACACGAAUGUUCUGUGCAUUCUGAUAUUUCUCUCUCAGCAGAAUGGAAACAUCUCUGUAUUAUGCAUUGGCUAAGGAGGAGAUGCUUAGAACCAUAACGGGAAAUUAGGAGAUCAACUCCCAUUGAAAAUCAAUGGGAGCUAGGUGCCUAACUUCCAUUUUUGCCUUGGAAAUCUUCCCUAAUUGCCACAGUGCAUUGCUAAACAUUUACUGACUGUUCUACCCCUAUGAUUUCUGAGACGAAACAUUAUUUGGGAUUUCAGCUCAGUCGUGCGCACCCGUCUUGCCUGUUUUUCUAGCUUUUGUUUCCAUUCUUUGUUUCAAAGGUGGAGUUUCCAAAAAUACGUUUUUCUUUCUGUGUUCAACAGCAGCAGCAUUUUGGUGUUUAAAGGGGAGCAGAGAAUGCCAACUGCAGUCAGUCAGUCAGCCAAACGGAGAGAGCAGUUCUGCCUGGCUGCAAGUUUUCCAUUGGAAAGUUGGCAUCUGGAUCCUAAAAUCUGGAUACUGCUAGGGAGGGGGGCCAGAGCCACAUAGGACUCAAGUCCAAGUUUUGUCAUUCUGCAGUGUGGAUGCAAGUCAAGCCCUAGACCCGAGUCAAAGGAGUUGCAUAGUGCAGUGUGUAGACUUGCUAGCACAGCUGUGAGAGCCUGGUCUAAUAACUGUAAAUCUAGAUAAACAAUGCAGUGUGGAUGCUCAAGGACAGGUAUGGAAACACCGAGUUCACAAGCCCAGUUCCCACAGUCCCGGGGUUAGUGUGCAGUUUAGAUAUAUACUGGAUGGCCUGGGAACUUCCAGGAAUAUUUCCUCAGGCUCAGUCUGAGUAAGGGGAAGAAAGGUCUUUCAGCUAAUAUACAAGAAUAGGCAUAACCAAACCAGGUUCUAUUCAUGACUCUGUUCUGUGCUUUCAGUGAUUGCAGGAGAGUCACUUAGGCCAUACUUUUAAUAAGUAGCCAGUGGGUGCUUCAACUUCUGGGUGCCCACCUUUAGACAACCUGGCCUGAUUUUCACAGUAUAGAGCACUCUGCAGUGCACCAUGGUGAAAAUGUGGCUGCAUGCCUCUCUGUGCUUCAGUUUCUCCAUUUGCAAAAUGAGGAUAAGAUUUACCAGCUUUACAGGGGCACCAUGAGGCUCAGUUCAUUAAUGCUGGAGAUUACUGGAAAAAUGGAACUAUUUAUAGAAAUGCAAUGUGUUGCUAUUCUUAAAUAUAAAUUGUCAUUCAAGUACAACACACUAAACAUCAUAAUGCGCAUCAUAUGGGACAUGCUACUAUACAUUGACCAAGAAAUUUUAAGUGACUUUCUGUCUCCUAGCUACUUAUUUUACCUUUAUUUUUUACUCCCCAGCACACUUAAGGAAAUGUUUGGGGCCAGCCUGUGGUAUUUAGCAAAAGAGGCACAAUACCUCCCUGAGAUCACAGCACACACGGGAGGGCACAUCCCUUUGGAUAAACCAUGCCACCCUCUCUGCAGCUCCUUGGCUCUACAAAUUGUGGGGCAGAGUCCAAACCAUAGCCAUGCUCCUUCCCCACCUCUCAGUGUGUGGAUUUCCAUCCCUGGUGGUGCAUGGAGGCAACAGUCUCUGCCCUUGCAUGGAGUAUGCAAGUGGGGUGAGUACCCACCGGUAGCCGCUCUAUCAUCUCCCCCUCAGCUCCUAGGACUUCCCGCCUGCUGGUGGGCCCCAUGAAUCAGCACCUCCCCUGUCCUCUCCACACCUCCCGCUUGCCACGAUCAGCUGUUUCAUAGUAUUCAGGAGGCUGGAGGAGUGAGGACACUGCAUGCUUGGGAUGGGCUGGCAUUGAGCAGGAAGAGGCAGAGUGAGGGUGGAGCAAGAAGAGGUGGGGUAGGGUGGGGCUGUGGUGGAAGAUGUUGGAGCCUGGGGCAGACCUGGGGGUGAAGCAUUCCCCAGCACUUAUGAAAAUCAGCGCCUUCCAAUAUUCUUAAAUCCUUUUAUUUUUGGUAUUGCCAAAAAUUGCCUGGGUUUUACAAAAGCCAUUAUUCAACUGAUACUUAUUUUUAUCCAAAUUUCAGAAAUGCCACAACUCCCAGGUUGCUGAGCUAUUGUUUUUGAGAACACCCAUCUCUCCAUCUGGCAUGGGGAGCCAUAGUAGAACUCCUGGAAUUAGUUGCUGAUGUAUAUGCUGGGGACAGUCCCAUGCCUGCCACGGACAUGUUACUAGCUUUACAGACAGCAUAAAUCGCUGUCAGCAUUCAAAGCAAAUAAAAGUUAGCUAAUUAUUUUUCUUGAUAAAAUAGGUUGAAAACAAAAAACCUGUGUCUGCAUUUCAGAACAAAAGGGGCUUUCCUGAAAGUUUAAAAAGAAGCACAAAUUGAGCUUUAUUGGGAUUUUCCAGGAGAGAAACCUGUUGUGUUUUGAAGUCAAUGGGAACAGCUCAGAAGCUAAUUUUGGCUGAAUCAAGCUUAAAAAGAAAAUAUCCGGCCUUCAUUGGAGAAAGAUAUUUCCACUGUCCCUGGACACCUGCCCCUGCUCUCUUGUAGCUGCAUACUUAUUUAAAUUCCUUCAACAAGCACUGGAUGAGAGGCCUUCUGUGCUGCUGAAAGGAAGUUCGCAAAGACUCCAACCAUGUGUGUAGUGUCCAGGGAACCCCUGUACAAAAAGAUGAAUGCUAAAGGACUCGGUGUUCUUGGAUAUGCUGCUCAGAGGCACGAUUGGCAGCAGAAGUCUUUUGGUCUCUCACUAAGCACUGAUUCACACAUGUGGUAAAAGAGUCAACAAUCAGAACAAAAUGGUUUCCUUGAGCACUGACUGACUGCCCCUGGAGAAGGUGUUUGAAGAGGCUGCAGAGCUACGCCAUUAGUGCACUGAACAAAUCACUGCCUCUCUCCCCCUCUGGGAGGGUGUAGCCAGACAGGAACCCCCCUGUAACAUCCA